AAUCCUUGGCAAUUGGCAAAGAGACACCUUGGUGGUAGUGGUGUUCUUACAUCAGUCAGGGGCAAAGCAGAUAUCUUUUGCUCAUUCUAGCUUGAUGCCUGGUUCGGUGGCUAAAGGUGUCUUAUGCCUAGGGCUUACCA